ACAUUUCUCAUGAAGAGGUGGUACAACACUGGCACAGGUUGCCCAGAGAAGUGGUGGAUGCACCAUCCCUAAAGACAUGCAAGGCCAGGCUGGUUGUGGUUCUGGGCAACCUGAUCUAGUUGGAGAUGUCCCUGCUUACUGCAGGGGG